UAUUCAAUGGGAGAUUUUCCAGUAGUUCCAAAAUCGACCAAUAGAUGGCAUUCGGCCUGUCGUUUUUAGUAGUGAGCUACAUUCUUCUGAGGAAACGGAGAUGACAAAUGUCACAGACCUACUACAAAACAAAUGUUAUGUCAUUCGGUUUCUCUUGUAGCUACGCGAAUGUCUCCGGUGCUGUGUUUUGUGAUAAUUUCGACGACUCUGGCUAUUCUUUUGGACUUUUGUGACUUCUAUACCCGACCGACCUUUGCACUCCCCCUGGACCCUUGCUUGCCAUUACGAUUUACCCCUGCCUGUACUCCGGACCUUGAAACAAUCAUGGGAAAAGACUAUGGAUCAUGGUCAACUGUACGCCUGAAGGACGAGCUACGAAAACGCAAAGCAAAACUUUCUGGAAAGAAAGCAGUGCUUGUCCAGAGACUUGAAGAUUACGAUAAGCUGUUUGGACCAGUUGUAACCGACUCGGAAGUCGUAUUCAAAAUAAAAGU